GCGUUCAUAGCUCAGUUGGUUAGAGCACCACCUUGACAUGGUGGGGGUCGUUGGUUCGAGUACAAUUGAACGCACCA
rnacentral:tRNA from 2 species